rnacentral:lncRNA from 1 species
AAUAGCAUCAAUAUCAUCUGCAGUGCCAUCAGCAAUAGAAACAGUAUUAACUGCAGUACCACCAGCAACAAUAUCUGCAGGACCAUCAGCAUUGCAUCAAGAUUUCCUGCGAUGUCGCUUCCAGCACCCAGGUCCGAUAUCUCAAAGGGCUUUCUACCGGUGGUGUCAAUAUGGGGGAGAUGAUCCCUCCUUUAGAUGGAGAAGACAAGCGCCAUAUGACACCAUUGGUAGAAGGAGGGGUGCUGGGAAGCAGUUCAACUCUUUUAAUUUCUACCAGUAGCUUUUUUAAGCUACUGGUAGAAUUAUCUUUAUCUUCAAAUAUAAAGAAAAUUGACUUUUUAAAAAAAUGUUUUUUU